rnacentral:rRNA from 1 species
GAUGAACGCUGGCGGCGUGCCUAAUACAUGCAAGUCGAGCGAACAGACGAGGAGCUUGCUCCUCUGACGUUAGCGGCGGACGUGUGAGUAACACGUGGAUAACCUACCUAUAAAACUGGGAUAACUUCGGGAAACCGGAGCUAAUACCGGGUAAUAUAUUGAACCGCAUUAUUAAAUAGUAAAAGACGGUUUUGCUAUCACUUAUAGAUGAAUCCGCGCUUCAUUAGCUAGUUGGUGAUGUAACGACUUACCAAGGCAACGAUGGGUAGCCGACCUGAGAGGGUACUCGGCCACACCGGAACUGAGACACGGUCCAGACCCCUACGGGAGGGAGAAGGAGGGAAUCUUCAGGAAUGGGCGAAAUGGUGACGGAUCAACGCCGCGUGAGUGAUGAAUGUAUUCGGAUCGUAAAACUCUGUUAUUAGGGAAGAACAAAUGUGUAAGUAACUAUGCACGUCUUGACGGUACCUAAUCAGAAAGCUACGGCUAACUACGUG